UACGUAGGGGGCAAGCGUUGUCCGGAUUUAUUGGGCGUAAAGAGCGUGUAGGCGGCUAAGCAGGUCCGCUGUGAAAACUCGAGGCUCAACCUCGAGACGUCGGUGGAAACCGUUUGGCUAGAGUCCGGAAGAGGAGAGUGGAAUUCCCGGUGUAGCGGUGAAAUGCGCAGAUAUCGGGAAGAACACCCGUGGCGAAGGCGGCUCUCUGGGACGGUACUGACGCUGAGACGCGAAAGCGUGGGGAGCGAACAGG
rnacentral:rRNA from 1 species